rnacentral:tRNA from 1 species
GAGGAUAUGGCCAAGUGGCAGAGUGCGUGCUUAGCAGGCAUGAGGCCCGAGGUUCAAUUCCCAGUACCUUCA